UGGGGAAGUUUUCCGCAAUGGGCGAGAGCCUGACGGAGCAAUGCCGCGUGGAGGUGGAAGGCCUACGGGUCGUCAACUUCUUUUCUCGGAGAAGAAACAAUGACGGUAUCUGAGGAAUAAGCAUCGGCUAACUCUGUGCCAC
rnacentral:rRNA from 1 species